rnacentral:misc_RNA from 1 species
AAAGUCGUAACAAGGUCUCCGUUGGUGAACCAGCGGAGGGAUCAUUACCGAGUUCCAGACUCCAAAACCCCCUGUGAACACACGCGCGUUGCCUCGGCGUUCCGCCCCGGUGCCACCGAGCCCGGACCGUCCGCCGGAGACCCCAGACCCUCUGUCCAGCGAAUCUCGGCGUACAAGCAAGCAAAUGAAUCAAAACUUUCAACAACGGAUCUCUUGGUUCUG